rnacentral:rRNA from 1 species
GAUGAACGCUGGCGGCGUGCUUAACACAUGCAAGUCGAGCGAAGCACUUAAGUUUGAUUCUUCGGAUGAAGACUUUUGUGACUGAGCGGCGACGGGUGAGUAACGCGUGGGUAACCUGCCUCAUACAGGGGGAUAACAGUUAGAAAUGACUGCUAAUACCGCAUAAGACCACAGGGUCGCAUGACCCGGUGGUAAAAACUCCGGUGGUAUGAGAUGGACCCGCGUCUGAUUAGCUAGUUGGUGAGGUAACGGCUCACCAAGGCGACGAUCAGUAGCCGGUCUGAGAGGAUGAACGGCCACAUUGGGACUGAGAUACGGCCCAG